rnacentral:rRNA from 1 species
UCCUACGGGAGGCAGCAGUAAGGAAUAUUCCACAAUGAGCGAAAGCUUGAUGGAGCGACACAGAGUGCAGGAUGAAGUCUUUAGGGAUGUAAACUGCUGUUGUAAGGGAAGAAAAAACUAGAUAGGAAAUGAUUUAGUCUUGACGGUACCUUAUUAGAAAGUGACGGCAAACUACGUGCCAGCAGCCGCGGUAAUACAUAGGUCGCAAGCGUUAUCCGGAAUUAUUGGGCGUAAAGCGUCCGCAGGUUUUUUGUUAAGUUUAAGGUUAAAUGCUAAAGCUCAACUUUAGUUCGCUUUAGAUACUGACAAAAUAGAAUUAUGAAGAGGUUAGCGGAAUUCCUAGUGGAGCGGUGGAAUGCGUAGAUAUUAGGAAGAACACCAAUAGGCGAAGGCAGCUAACUGGUCAUAUAUUGACACUAAUGGACGAAAGCGUGGGGAGCAAACAGGAUUAGAUACCCUGGUAGUCC